rnacentral:rRNA from 1 species
GACGAACGCUGGCGGCAUGCUUUACACAUGCAAGUCGGACGAGUGGCGGACGGGUGAGUAACGCAUCGGAACGUGCCGAGUGAUGGGGGAUAACUGUCCGAAAGGCCAGCUAAUACCGCAUAUUAUUCGAGCGGCCGAUGUCGGAUUAGCUGGUUGGCGGGGUAAUGGCCCACCAAGGCGACGAUCCGUAGCGGGUCUGAGAGGAUGAUCCGCCACACUGGGACUGAGACCCGGCCCAGACUCCUGCGGGAGGCAGCAGUGGGGAAUAUUGGACAAUGGGCGCAAGCCGUAUCCAGCCAUGCCGCGUGUCUGAAGAAGGCCUGAGGGUUGUAAAGGACUUUCGUCAGGGAAGCGGUACCUGAAGAAUAAGCACCGGCUAACUACGUGCCAGCAGCCGCGGUAAUAC